GCCACAGGGUCUUCUAAGCCCUGGUGAAUGCUGUAAAGCAAAUACAUCUCAUUUAUCUCUUUGCAUAUUCCACAAAUUUUACCAUAUAACCUAUAUGUAGGAACUCUCAUUCCAUACUUAUCUUUAGUCUGUGUAUAGAGACAGAAUAUUGACCGAGAAUAGAAAAAUAAGGCUGGUUAGAUUACCUUUGUCAAGCUUAUGCUACACCCUAAUGGGGUUCAGGACACACUAUCCCAAAAUGUAGCUAGACAAUGAGUUCUCUGAGAGCAGGAUCCACCUAUUUGGUUGUAAUAGUUUUGUUUCUAUAAAUGUUGAAUGAGUGGAUCGAUUUAUCAAAAUAGAGUUUAUGAACAUAAAAAAUUGCCUUAUGCAACCAAGUUUGAUAAUAACAACAUGACCUUGAUAUUAAACUGAAAAAAGGCAUCUUCCAGUCUCUACUAUUACCACCUCUCCCCAACUAUUAUAGCCAUUCAAAUCUCUAACCAGGCUGAAUAUUAAAUAAAAUGGUUUACCAUCUGAUGUUAAGGUAUAAAGAUAAGAUUUUUUUUUUUCUGAAUUAAAAAAAAUAGUCCAAAGAAGAAGGAAGAAGAAAGGGGAUAUAAUGAGAAUGAGAAGCGUCAGAUAAUUAGGCAGCAGUCCAACAAUUAGGUUUUGUGGAACUUUUACUAUGUCAUCUAUUUAUUGGAAUUCCCCCUGGAUACCAGGACCCCCUCCAGCAGAGCUUAAAGUUAUAGUUACAGGAAGUACAAAUUCCUUAUGUGGAUCCCUGGAAGUGUGAUGAGAAGAACCACUGUUUCCAAGAUCUAUUUAUUCUAUUUAUCAGGCCUAUAAAAUCAUGUAAUGGCCAUGGCUUCAACUAG
rnacentral:lncRNA from 1 species